CAUAGAAUUGUACCGCAGGAAUCACAGAGGACAGAUGCUGUGGUGGCGACUGCAGAGAAGUACUUGGGUGUAUGAGAUUUUUACUGCAGAAAAGAUACAAGGUGUUUUGAGCGAAAGUGUCCCGUCCUCCCAGGCUGCUGUCCUGGUGUAGGAUCAGAUAGGGCCAAAGUAGUGGAAUAGUGAUGAGUUUUUAAUGGGUGUAGGAUUAGUUGCUAGGUCUUUUUUAUUUCAGUGUAAAGAAUUCAUACUACAGAGUAGGCUGAUACACAGCCAUACAGUAGGUGGCGGCAUAGCACCUAUAACAGUUGUUUGCAGACCGCCAUAAUACCAAAGAAGAAGCAGACGCUGCUCUUGCUAGCCAACAUAGCCGAAACAUUUGAGCCGUUUAGACACUUUCAGUGACGGUUAGCCACUGUGUUUUAACUUUAAACCCACUUCUGUCGUAUCUACUAGUUACCCCAUUUACUGUCAUAUGUACGCUGUUGCUGUUAGUUAGCUAGCUGGCUUGUUAAAUUGGCAGUAGCACUAGGCUAGUCGCUAAUUCUAACUAGCUAGCUAAGUGACAUCCUCGACCACGAGUUCACUGAGUUACUUGCACCCUGCUAAAGAAGAGAAGGCAUGCUGGGCGGAGGAAGAAGCUCUCGUGAAAGUGGAGAGGAGGCUGUUUCAGUAGACAUUUCAGUGAAAGAAGAAGAAGAAGAAGCUUUCAGAGUGAAAGAGGAGGAUGUUAAUGUGAAAGAAGAGGAGGAGACGGAUGCAGUUUUUGUAGUGAAAGGAGGAGGGGGAGGAUGACUGACGAAGAAGUUUUGGAAUUGAAGGAGGGGGAGAUUGUCACAUUAGAGGAGACUGGAGAUUUAAUGAACACCAGAGAGAGGUCAGACUCUCACUCUGACAGCGGGAAGAGUCCUUAAGGGGAACCAGAGACACCCAAACCAGCGGGACGACACCCUACCUCCCAUUGUGGAAAGAGUUUUAAGAGGUUAUGGACACUAAAAGAGCAUGGGAGAACACACACAGGAGAAAAGCCUAACCACCGCUCAGACUUUGGGAAGAGGUUUUGCCAGAUAGACAGCCUGAAACGACAUAAGAGAACACACACAGGAGAAAAUCCUCACCACUGCUUCCAGUGUGGCAAGAGUUUUACCCGUUUAUGUUACCUGAAAAUACAUGAGCGAAUACACUCUGGAGUGAAGCCUCAUCACUGUUCCCAAUGUGGACAGAGUUUUACCCAUUCAGGGAGCCUGAAAAAACACGAGAAAACACACUCAGCAGAGAAGACCUACCACUGCUCCCAGUGUAGAAAAAUAUUUAUCAGUUUAUGGCACCUGAGAACGCAUGAGAGGGCACACACAUGAGGGGAUAAGGCCUACCACUGCUCCCAGUGUGAAAAGAGUUUUACCCGGUUAGGGAACCUGAGGACGCAUGAGAGGGCACACACAGGAGAGAAGCCUUACCACUGUGGAAAGAGUUUUACCCAGUUAGGGAACCUGAGAACACAUGAGAGGGCACACACAGGAGAGAAGCCUUACCACUGUUCCUAUUGUGAAAAGAGUUUUACCCGGUGGGGGAGCCUGAAAAAGCAUGAGUGGAUACACACACGUGAAAAGCCCUACCAGUGCUCCUUGUGUGGAAAGAGUUUUACCCAGUUAGGAAACCUGAACCAGCAUGAGAGGACACACACAGGAGGGGAUAAGGCCUACCACUGCUCCCAGUGUGAAAAUAGUUGUACCCGGUUAAGGCAUCUGAAUAAGCACGAAAGAAUACAUACACAGGAGGAGAAGACAUACCACUGCUCUCAAUGUGGAAAGACAU